GAUCAUGGCUCAGGAUAAACGCUGGCGGCACACAUAAGACAUGCAAGUCGAACGGACUAAUUUGAAAUGUUACAUUUUUUAAUUGUUAGUGGCGGACUGGUGAGUAACACGUAAGCAACCUGCCUAUUAGAGGGGAAUAACAAUGAGAAAUCAUUGCUAAUACCGCAUAUGCCAUAAUUAUCACAUGAUAGUAGUGGGAAAGAAGUAAUUCGCUAAUAGAUGGGCUUGCGUCUGAUUAGUUAGUUGGUGGGGUAAUGGCCUACCAAGACUACGAUCAGUAGCCGGACUGAGAGGUUCAACGGCCACAUUGGGACUGAGAUACGGCCCAGACUCCUACGGGAGGCAGCAGUCGGGAAUUUUGCGCAAUGGAGGAAACUCUGACGCAGUGAUGCCGCGUAUAGGAAGAAGGUUUUCGGAUUGUAAACUAUUGUCUGCAGGGAAGAUACAAGACUGUACCUGCAAAGAAAGCUCCGGCUAACUACGUG
rnacentral:rRNA from 1 species